rnacentral:rRNA from 1 species
AGGACGAACGCUGGCGGCGUGCUUAACACAUGCAAGUCGAGCGGAAAGGCCCUUCGGGGUACUCGAGCGGCGAACGGGUGAGUAACACGUGAGUAAUCUGCCCCUAGCUCUGGGAUAGCUCCGGGAAACCGGGAUUAAUACCAGAUACGACCAUUUUAGACAUCUGUUGUGGUGGAAAGAAUUUUGGCUAGGGAUGAGCUCGCGGCCUAUCAGCUUGUUGGUGAGGUAACGGCUCACCAAGGCGACGACGGGUAGCCGGCCUGAGAGGGCGACCGGCCACACUGGGACUGAGACACGGCCCAGACUCCUACGGGAGGCAGCAGUGGGGAAUAUUGCGCAAUGGGCGAAAGCCUGACGCAGCGACGCCGCGUGGGGGAUGAAGGCCUUCGGGUUGUAAACCCCUUUCAGCAGGGACGAAGCGAAAGUGACGGUACCUGCAGAAGAAGCGCCGGCUAACUACGUGCCAGCAGCCGC